GGUAGGUGGGCAAGCGGUUGUCCCGGAAUUAUUGGGGCGUAAAGCGCGCGCAGGGCGGUCCUUUAAGUCUGAUGUGAAAGCCCACGGCUCAACCGUGGAGGUCAUUGGAAACUGGGGGACUUGAGUACAGAAGAGGAAAGCGGAAUUCCAAGUGUAGCGGUGAAAUGCGUAGAGAUUUGGAGGAACACCAGUGGCGAAGGCGGCUUUCUGGUCUGUAACUGACGCUGAGGCGCGAAAGCGUGGGGAGCAAACAGGAUUAGAUACCCUGGUAGUCCACGCCGUAAACGAUGAGUGCUAAGUGUUAGGGGGUUUCCGCCCCUUAGUGCUGCAGCUAACGCAUUAAGCACUCCACCUGGGGAGUACGGCCGCAAGGCUGA
rnacentral:rRNA from 1 species